rnacentral:rRNA from 1 species
UACGGAGGAUGCAAGCGUUAUCCGGAAUCAUUGGGUUUAAAGGGUGCGUAGGCUGGUAUUUAAGUCAGUGGUGAAAUGUCCGUGCUUAACAUGGGAGCUGCCAUUGAUACUGGGUACCUGGAGUGUAUUUGAUGUGGGCGGAAUGUGUCAUGUAGCGGUGAAAUGCAUAGAUAUGACACAGAACACCGAUAGCGAAGGCAGCUCACAAAGUUACAACUGACGCUGAUGCACGAAAGCGUGGGGAUCAAACAGG